CCACACUUGGUUGACAAAUGCAAAUACUUCGAGAGGCUAUCCCAGCAGACCCCACUGUGGUUUGAGGGUUUUCUCGUCAUCUUGCAUUAGAGAAAAUGAUGCUGAAUCACAUACACUUAACAAAUCAAAAAGCAACAAACAUAUGCUGGCCUUGACAGCUCUACCACUGGCUGGUUCCAGCAGGCCCUGGGUUGUGUGUGUUGGGGCUCCUCCCCAGAGAGAUGAAGAGAUGGACCGACAGUAACAGAAGGCCCUCGAAGCUGAUGUGUGAUGAAGCCUUUCACACUUUUUGCUACAGUAAUCUACACACAAGACUUGCUCAAUGCUUUCAUGAUUUUAACCACAAAGAAGAAGAGAAAAACAAGAAGGGCAUGGUAUACAGUGACACACCGUUUGCGGUAGAAGCGAGGUGAAAUGAUCUGAACAACUGAAAGAAUUUGUGUUCAUGAAGUUGCUCAGACAAGGAGCUGAUGGAGCAGGGCAUUGAAAUCUCCUUGCAUAUUGGAGUUUAAUUAUAAAGCAUUAGGUUAAAUUUAACUCCUCAGAAUCAUUAUGAAAAUUUGUAACUCUCUGGGACAAUUUUAGAUCCAUCAACUGGCACAUAAAUUUAGCACUCAUACACUAUAUGUAGAAGUGUGUAAAUAUGCAAGCAGCCACCCCCACCCCAUAACAAUGCUGUGUUAUUAUUCCACAAGACAACACUUUUGAAUCUGAAAUCUUUUAAAAUUACUAAUCUGUUGCUCUUCUCAUGGAACAUCUUAACUACUUCAUUUGAAUGUACUAUUUAAAUAAUACUAGGAAGUAGUUCUCAAUGAAUAUUUAAUUACUGAGUACUAUGGUUUAAAUCUUCCAACCAAGAAAAAUAAUGCAUAGAAAAUUAUAUUUAUUAUAUAUCUCAAAAACUGUUGAAAAUUCUGAAGUUCUAGCAAAGAUCACUAUUCUUUAUGAAAUACACAUCAUCAUUACAAUGUCUGUGUUAGACAUAGUAUGAAUAUGAUCUGUAUGUCUUCAGUGAAUUCAAUAACUUAGAAGAUGUCACAAUGUAACUUCCAAAAAAAUGAGAACACAAUUUUGUUUAUACGAAGACCUGGCAUAAAAUAAAAUAUGAAUGAAUCAUUUUUAACACAAGAUACAAAAACUCAGUUUGCAGGCAAAUUAAGCAAAAACAAAAUGUGCUUAUUGUAAAUAUCCUAUCCUUAUUAGGAAACAAUUACAUUGUUUUCAGUAGAUUUUUAAUUCCUCUUGAUGUGCCACUUAAAAUGAUUUGAUUCCAAACUACUAGUGAUGCAAGUUUAAACACAUCCUUUAACUAGCAUGGUAGUGACAUAUAUUAAGUUGCCCAUAUGCAAUUCACACUUGUGACUUUUCUCUGCCAUUCAUGAAUUAUGCAAUUAUCCCUAACUCAUGGAAAUGAAAGUGCAUUAACUGCCCACUGUCAUGUAUUGUCUCUUUCUAUGUCCUUGCGCACAUAUUUCCACGGCUCAUUAUUCAUGGAUGCAUCUAUGCAAGUGUAAAUGUACACACAUAAUAUGGAAAUAGUCACACAUGGAUAAAUAGCAACCAGACACUUGUUUGUAAAGAUCUAUGUACUUCAUUCCAAACAACAAAAUUUAAUGAGGAACACCUCUAUCCUUGUUAUGGAUGCCGCAAGGUAAACAAAACGGAUGCCAUUGUUAUAAAGUAAUAGAGGGAUUUUCUCACACAGGAAGGAAUGAAGUUGUUGGUGUACAAACCUGAAACAGCACCCUUUCAUCUCUGACAACUGUUUUUCUAGCUUUUUCCCCCAUUAAGAAAUAUGCUUUUCAGCACUGAUUGAAAUCUCACUGGAACACUAUUCAAAAAAUACUGACUGUACCUUGUGUUCCUAAUCCUUAUCUUUUCUCCAUGAAUGUUAAGAUAGACUUGUAAUGAUGGCAUUUCAUUCCUAGAGAAAACAAUUGUUUAAAAUAAAGAGUUUUGGGGAAAUUAAAAUAUUGCGUUUUCUCCAUUGAAUGUUAUGGUCAUGUAGGUGAUUCCAAAUUUUGAAUUGAGCAUCGAAACAAUUUGCUCCUGACGUGAUGUAUUCCUCAGGAAAGUUCUCUGAUUUUAGUCUAAUAAGCACUAGUGAGCACACACGUGCAAUGAUCUGUGAUAAGGGCAAUCAUGAGGAUUCCUUCUG
rnacentral:lncRNA from 1 species